UACGGGGGGAGCAAGCGUUGUUCGGAUUUACUGGGCGUAAAGGGCGCGUAGGCGGCCACCGCAAGUCGACUGUGAAAUCUCCGGGCUUAACCCGGAAAGGUCAGCCGAUACUGCGGGGCUAGAGUGCAGAAGGGGCAACUGGAAUUCUCGGUGUAGCGGUGAAAUGCGUAGAUAUCGAGAGGAACACCUGCGGCGAAGGCGGGUUGCUGGGCUGACACGUGACGCUGAGGCGCGAAAGCUAGGGGAGCGAACGGG
rnacentral:rRNA from 1 species